GAUGAACGCUGGCGGCGUGCCUAAUACAUGCAAGUCGAGCGAACGGACGAGAAGCUUGCUUCUCUGAUGUUAGCGGCGGACGGGUGAGUAACACGUGGAUAACCUACCUAUAAGACUGGGAUAAUUUCGGGAAACCGGAGCUAAUACCGGAUAAUAUUUUGAACCGCAUGGUUCAAAAGUGAAAGUCGGUCUUGCUGUCACUUAUAGAUGGAUCCGCGCUGCAUUAGCUAGUUGGUAAGGUAAAGGCUUAUCAAGGCAACGAUGCAUAGCCGACCUGAGAGAGGGAUCGGCCACACGAGAACUGAGACACGGUCCAGACGCCUACGGUAAGCAGCAGAAGGGUAUCUUCCGCAAUGGGCGAAAGCCUUACGGAGCAGCGCCGCGUGAGUGAUGAAGGUCUUCGGAGCGUAAAACUCUGUUAUUAGUGAAGAACAUAUGUGUAAGUAACUGUGCACAUCGUGACGGUACCUAAUCAGAAAGCCACGGCUAACUACGUG
rnacentral:rRNA from 1 species